rnacentral:rRNA from 1 species
GGUAAUUUAACCSUGCAAAGGUAGCAUAAUCAAUAGUCUUUUAAUUGAAGGCUUGAAUGAAAGGUUUGACGGAAAGGGGACUGUCUCUUUGGUUUGCUUUGAAUUUAACAUUUGUGUGAGAAGGCAUUAAUAAUUUAGUGGGACGAUAAGACCCUAUAAAACUUAACAUGUACUGUGGCUACUUUUUAUAAAUGUUUAUUAAUUAACAAGUGGUCAGGCGUGUUAUGCUGGGGCGGCAUGAAUAUAAUUUGUAACUGUUUUUUAAAUAAAAUAUGUGUUUAUAGGUUUUGGUCCUUUGUUAGAGAGGUAAGAGUAAGUUACUUUAGGGAUAACAGCAUAAUUUUUCUUGAGAGUUCGUAUCGAAGGAAGUAGUUGUGACCUCGAUGUUGAAUUAAAUUUUAUCUUAGGUGCAGGAGUUUGGGAUUGAGGACUGUUCGUCCUAUAAAUAUUUACGUGAUCUGAGUUCAG